rnacentral:tRNA from 1 species
GCGGAAGUAGCUCAGUUGGUAGAGCGUCAGCCUUCCAAGCUGAAUGUCGCCGGUUCGAACCCGGUCUUCCGCUC